rnacentral:rRNA from 1 species
GAUGAACGCUAGCUACAGGCUUAACACAUGCAAGUCGAGGGGCAGCACAGUGUAGCAAUACAUGGGUGGCGACCGGCGCACGGGUGCGUAACGCGUAUCCAACCUUCCCGAUACUCAGGGAUAGCCUUCCGAAAGGGAGAUUAAUACCUGAUGGUGUUCAAAUUCCGCAUGUUAUUUGAACUAAAGAUUUAUCGGUAUCGGAUGGGGAUGCGUGACAUUAGAUAGUAGGCGGGGUAACGGCCCACCUAGUCUACGAUGUCUAGGGGUUCUGAGAGGAAGGUCCGCCACACUGGAACUGAGACACGGUCCAGACUCCUACGGGAGGCAGCAGUGAGGAAUAUUGGUCAAUGGUCGGAAGACUGAACCAGCCAAGUAGCGUGAAGGAUGAAGGUUCUAUGGAUUGUAAACUUCUUUUAUACGGGAAUAAAACCUCCCACGUGUGGGAGCUUGUAUGUACCGUAUGAAUAAGCAUCGGCUAACUCCGUGCCAGCAGCCGCCGUAACAC